rnacentral:pre_miRNA from 1 species
AGUGGAAUUGCUGGGUCAUAUGGUAACUUUCUUUAACCGUUUGAGGAACCGUCAGACUGUUCUCCAUGGUGGCUGUGCCAUUUGACAUUCCCACAAGCAGU